rnacentral:pre_miRNA from 1 species
UAGUAGCUCUGAUAUUGGCCUGGUUCACUCAGAUCAUCACAAAAGAAACGAUCAGUUAUACAUACAUAUAUAUAUAUAUAUGUAUGUAUAUGUGUUUGUGUACGCUGAUCUCUCAAGUUUUCUGAUUUGAUUGAGCCGUGCCAAUAUCUCAGUGCUCUUU